AUGGAUCCGAGAAAGUUGAGAGAAGUGGAAUUGCAGUCCGGCGGGCUGUGGCAUGCAGUCCUUCACGGUUGUCCGUGUGGUUUUUUUUUUGUACAUGUACUCCCUUCGUUUAUUUUUCAGUUUUUUGCUGUUGAUUUUGGUCGUGCAGUGCACGGCGUGAGUGUAAGCAGCACACCCGUCGGUACCGUGCAGUUAAGAUUCGAGUUGUCUGCAGAUAUGGAAAGUGAAAAAAAAAUGCAAUUCCCUUGUUGCCAAAAAAGCAGCAAAAAAUUUCAAGUUUUUCUCUGUUGCCAUAGUGCAGUAAAAAACCAGGAAAAUGCGGUGCACUUUGGUCUUGAAAAAUUCCACUACAAAGGACUCUUCAGAUUUCAAACAAAAUGCAUUUAA
rnacentral:rRNA from 1 species